AGUGUCUCUGCCUGACCGCCACCCCAUCUGGGAGCUGAAUAAUCUGGAGAUGGUGCUGGCAAAAGUCAGUAGAGACAGAGAGAGCUCAAAGCUCCCAGGAGCAUCCUGAUUCUGGCAGAAGCAGGAGCAGAGAGUUUAGAAUCAUGAGAUCAUCAUAAACCCCCUUCUUGGAAGAUCUCAGGACCUCAGACCACAGAAAUUACCCUCCACUUCAGUUUUGCCAUCCAUCAUACUAAGGCAGAAACACAUCUCACCUUCCUGCUACUCAAGAAUUGGCAAAUAAAGGCAAAAUCUCGCCCCUCUCUGAGAUUCUCAAAGAACAGUGUUUGACUCUGUUCAGUGGGGUUUUCCAGGGCCAAAAAUGCCUGUGGGAUUGAUUUUGGAGUCCCAGCAACCCUCAUCUCUUAGUCCUUAUAUUGCAUGCAGGUCCACAGGAAGAGAGGGUUGGCACUCAAAGGAUCACAGUUUCUAUCCCACGUCAUCACUCUUACUGACCACUCUGGCUCUGGGGAUGCUGCAUCUCUCUGAAAUCCACCCAGUUGCGGGAAAUACUGAGAGUUUAGGCCUACUUCCCAUUAUCUGAAUAAAAUAGAUAACAUCGUUUUUUCUUUUCCAAGAAAAUGGAAAUCAAGCCCACUGUUUUGUGUUAUCAGUUUAACCGCUGAGUUGAGGUGUCACCAGCAAGUACUGAGCUUUAACUGUUUCCAAAUGGGGCUUCUGAGAGGCACUGAGUUGGCAUCUACCAAGGACUUGGUCUACACAUAGAGGGAAGACAGAGACCAGGAAACACUCAUCUUUCUGCAAUUCAACUCUGGGCUCCAUCUUGAAGGAAAUGAAUGCAUGAAGAACAUUCUUAACCUAGUAUGUCUACGGCCAUACCACCCUAGGCGUGCCCAAUCUCGUCUGAACCCAGUACGUGACAUGCCCUAUGCUGAUGCUUUCAUAUGCGUUACCUUAUUUAAUCCUCAUGACUUCCACAUUAAUAAUAAUUACCUAUGAUGUGAGAGGGUCAUUAUACCAAUUUUAUGAAGAAAAUAUGGCUCAAAGAAAUAAUUUUUAAGUAGCAACACCAACAUUUGGAAUCUUCUUGAAACUUCUAACUCCUAGAAGACCACCAUGCUGUAUUUUUGGUCUACAAAUUUAAAUGGAAUAGUAUCUAAUGUUGGGGAAAACGGGAGGAAUGAAGGGUGACUGCUAAAGAGUACAGGAUUUCUUUUAGUGGUGAUGAAAAUGUUCUAAAAUUGACAGUGAUGACCAUUGCUCAACUCCAUGAGGACUCUAAAAUUCAUUGAAUUGUAUAUUUUAAAUGGGUGAAUUGUAUGGCAUGUGAGUUAUAACCACACAGAGCUGUUACAAAUAAGUAAUAUUUAAUGGAGGCCUCUUCCCACCCUACUCUACAACAGUCACAAAAACCUCUCAAUUUUCCCAUAUAUCCUGAAGUAGAAGGGCUUGCCUUUUAUCUCUUUGUAAUUUUAUGUAGUGGACAAUAAACAAAUGGCUGAUUGUAAUGAUGAAAAAGAUCCAAAUUUCUCCAGUAAAGUUGGGGGAGAAAUGCCCAGUUACAAGCAGCUGAAUGGAGGUCAGAGAGAACCAUAAUCCCAGAUAAAAAAUAAGCAGGCAAAAUUUUCUGUAGCACAAUCCCUCUCUCAUUUCAAGAAUCUGCCCACACGCUCCUCACACCUCCUCCUCUCCUGUCACUACCACCAUGAUCUUGUGGUUACACAAUUUCAUUCAGAGUCAAAAUUAGAAAUUAACUAAAGAAGCUAUGGUAUGGUAUUUUAUUCUAAGAUGUCAUCUCUUUUCAAAUGAAUCAUCAAUUUAAUAACAGUUUUCCAAGUGUUAAAAAUGUGGGGUAAAAAUGCAUUUUAGAAUCAAAGAAAUGUACUAAUCCCUAUGAAGAUGGUAAUCCAAUUAAAGUGUAAUUUCUCCAUAUUUGAAGACA